rnacentral:rRNA from 1 species
AAUGAACGCUGGCGGCGUGCCUAACACAUGCAAGUCGCACGAGAAAGUCCCAGCUUGCUGGGGCUAGUAAAGUGGCGCACGGGUGAGUAACGCGUGGGUAAUCUACCUCCGAAUUGGGGAUAACAUUGCGAAAGCGGUGCUAAUACCGAAUGACAUCCCCGGGACUCCGGUCUUGGUGAUCAAAGGUGGCCUCUACAUGUAAGCUAUCGUUUGGAGAUGAGCCCGCGUACCAUUAGCUAGUUGGUAGGGUAAUGGCCUACCAAGGCUGCGAUGGUUAGCUGGUCUGAGAGGAUGAUCAGCCACACUGGGACUGAGACACGGCCCAGACUCCUACGGGAGGCAGCAGUGGGGAAUUGUUCGCAAUGGGCGCAAGCCUGACGACGCAACGCCGCGUGGGGGAUGAAGGUCUUCGGAUUGUAAACCCCUGUUGGGUGGGACGAACACUUCCAUGGUGAAUAUCCAUGGGGGCUGACGGUACCAUCUGAGGAAGCCCCGGCUAACUCUGUGCCAGCCGCCGCCGUAACAC